rnacentral:sRNA from 1 species
ACAGCAGUGAUGCAGGUUCAGCUCUGUUU